rnacentral:rRNA from 1 species
AGAGUUUGAUCCUGGCUCAGGAUGAACGCUGGCGGCGUGCUUAACACAUGCAAGUCGAACGAAACACCUUAUUUGAUUUUCUUCGGAACUGAAGAUUUGGUGAUUGAGUGGCGGACGGGUGAGUAACGCGUGGGUAACCUACCCUGUACAGGGGGAUAACAGUCAGAAAUGACUGCUAAUACCGCAUAAGACCACAGCACCGCAUGGUGCAGGGGUAAAAACUCCGGUGGUACAGGAUGGACCCGCGUCUGAUUAGCUGGUUGGUGAGGUAACGGCUCACCAAGGCGACGAUCAGUAGCCGGCUUGAGAGAGUGAACGGCCACAUUGGGACUGAGACACGGCCCAAACUCCUACGGGAGGCAGCAGUGGGGAAUAUUGCACAAUGGGGGAAACCCUGAUGCAGCGACGCCGCGUGAGUGAAGAAGUAUCUCGGUAUGUAAAGCUCUAUCAGCAGGGAAGAAAAUGACGGUACCUGACUAAGAAGCCCCGGCUAACUACGUGCCAGCAGCCGCGGUAAUACGUAGGGGGCAAGCGUUAUCCGGAAUUACUGGGUGUAAAGGGUGCGUAGGUGGUAUGGCAAGUCAGAAGUGAAAACCCAGGGCUUAACUCUGGGACUGCUUUUGAAACUGUCAGACUAGAGUGCAGGAGAGGUAAGCGGAAUUCCUAGUGUAGCGGUGAAAUGCGUAGAUAUCGGGAGGAACACCAGUGGCGAAGGCGACCUACUGGGCACCAACUGACGCUGAGGCUCGAAAGCAUGGGUAGCAAACAGGAUUAGAUACCCUGGUAGUCCAUGCCGUAAACGAUGAUUACUAGGUGUUGGAGGAUUGACCCCUUCAGUGCCGCAGUUAACACAAUAAGUAAUCCACCUGGGGAGUACGACCGCAAGGUUGAAACUCAAAGGAAUUGACGGGGGCCCGCACAAGCAGUGGAGUAUGUGGUUUAAUUCGAAGCAACGCGAAGAACCUUACCAGGUCUUGGCAUCCGAUGCAUAGUGCAGAGAUGCAUGAAGUCCUUCGGGACAUCGAGACAGGUGGUGCAUGGUUGUCGUCAGCUCGUGUCGUGAGAUGUCGGGUUAAGUCCCGCAACGAGCGCAACCCUUAUUGCCAGUUACUACGUAAGAGGACUCUGGCGAGACUGCCGUUGACAAAACGGAGGAAGGUGGGGAUGACGUCAAAUCAUCAUGCCCUUUAUGACCUGGGCUACACACGUACUACAAUGGCGUUUAACAAAGAGAAGCAAGACCGCGAGGUGGAGCAAAACUCAAAAACAACGUCUCAGUUCAGAUUGCAGGCUGCAACUCGCCUGCAUGAAGUCGGAAUUGCUAGUAAUCGCGGAUCAGCAUGCCGCGGUGAAUACGUUCCCGGGUCUUGCACACACCGCCCGUCA